GUGGGUAGCGGUGAAAUUCCAAUCGAGCCCGGAGAUAGCUGGUUCUCCCCGAAAUAGCUUUAGGGCUAGCCUCAAGGUGAGAGAUACGGAGGUAGAGCACUGAAUGUCCUAGGGGGUAUUGCACCUACCGAAGACUAUCAAACUCCGAAUACCGUCAUCGUAUACUUGGGAGUCAGACUGUGGGUGAUAAGAUUCAUAGUCGAAAGGGCAACAGCCCAGAUCGUCAGCUAAGGUCCCUAAAUGUAAGUUAAGUGGUAAAGGAUGUGGGAUUGCACAGACAACCAGGAUGUUGGCUUAGAAGCAGCCACUCAUUCAAAGAGUGCGUAAUAGCUCACUGGUCGAGUGAUCCUGCGCCGAAGAUUUCCGGGGCUAAAACUUACUACCGAAGCUACGGCAUCAGUAAUGAUGGGUAGGGGAGCUUCCCAUACGGGUUGAAGCAUGACCGUAAGGACAUGUGGACAGUAUGGGAGUGAGAAUGUUGGCAUGAGUAGCGAGAUGUGGGUGAGAAUCCCACAGGCCGUAAACCCAAGGUUUCCAGGGGAAGGUUCGUCCGCCCUGGGUUAGUCGGGACCUAAGCUGCGGCCGAAAGGCGUAGGUGAUGGACAACAGGUUGAUAUUCCUGUACUACCGAUAACCGUUUGAGAGAAGGGAUGACACAGUAGGAUAAGCUAAGCACACUGUUGGUUAUGUGUGCCCAAGCAUUGAGGCAGUCAAAGUAGGUAAAUCCGCUUUGAUAAUGCUGGGAUGUGAUGGGGAGCGAAAUUUAGUAGCGAAGUAGCUGAUUUCACACUGUCAAGAAAAG
rnacentral:rRNA from 1 species